GGCGGUAUGCUUAACACAUGCAAGUCGAACGGUGUCUUCGGACACAGUGGCGGACGGGUGAGUAACGCGUGAGAAUCUGGCUCUAGGUCUGGGACAACCACUGGAAACGGUGGCUAAUACCGGAUGUGCCCUUGGGUGAAAGGCUUGCUGCCUAGAGAUGAGCUCGCGUCUGAUUAGCUAGUUGGAAGUGUAAUGGACUCCCAAGGCGACGAUCAGUAGCUGGUCUGAGAGGACGAUCAGCCACACUGGGACUGAGACACGGCCCAGACUCCUACGGGAGGCAGCAGUGGGGAAUUUUCCGCAAUGGGCGAAAGCCUGACGGAGCAAUACCGCGUGAGGGAGGAAGGCUCUUGGGUCGUAAACCUCUUUUCUUAGGGAAGAACACAAUGACGGUACCUGAGGAAUAAGCAUCGGCUAACUCCGUGCCAGCAGCCGCGGUAAUACGGAGGAUGCAAGCGUUAUCCGGAAUGAUUGGGCGUAAAGCGUCCGCAGGUGGCAAUGAAAGUCUGCUGUUAAAGAGUCUAGCUCAACUAGAUAGAAGCAGUGGAAACUACAUAGCUAGAGUACGUUCGGGGCAGAGGGAAUUCCUGGUGUAGCGGUGAAAUGCGUAGAGAUCAGGAAGAACACCAGUGGCGAAGGCGCUCUGCUAGGCCGUAACUGACACUGAAGGGACGAAAGCUAGGGGAGCGAAUGGGAUUAGAUAC
rnacentral:rRNA from 1 species